GGAAUAUUGGACAAUGGGCGAAAGCCUGAUCCAGCCAUGCCGCGUGAGUGAUGAAGGCCCUAGGGUUGGAAAGCUCUUUCACCGGUGAAGAUAAUGACGGUAACCGGAGAAGAAGCCCCGGCUAACUUCGGGCCAGCAGCCGCGGUAAUACGAAGGGGGCUAGCGUUGUUCGGAUUUACUGGGCGUAAAGCGCACGUAGGCGGAUCGUUAAGUCAGAGGUGAAAUCCCGGGGCUCAACCCCGGAACUGCCUUUGAUACUGGCGAUCUAGAGUUCGAGAGAGGUGAGUGGAAUUCCGAGUGUAGAGGUGAAAUUCGUAGAUAUUCGGAGGAACACCAGUGGCGAAGGCGGCUCACUGGCUCGAUACUGACGCUGAGGUGCGAAAGCGUGGGGAGCAAACA
rnacentral:rRNA from 1 species